rnacentral:tRNA from 2 species
GCGGGCGUAACUCAGUUGGUAGAGUACCUGCUUCCCAAGCAGGCUGUCGUCGGUUCGAGUCCGAUCGCCCGCUCCA